rnacentral:misc_RNA from 1 species
AAUUGACAUUUGACAAGUUGGUUUUUUCGAAAGAGAAUUUUGAUUUUGAUUUCAAUUCUUACUCAAUUUAUUUCUUAGCUUAAAACUUAAAUAAAAACAUUAGGAAAGCGUUUCGUAUUUAAAUCAAAAUGAAAUUAGCUAUACCUGAAAUAUCUUGGCAUAAUAGAGAUCCAGUUCUUAGUGUAGACUUUCAGCCAAAAUCGGAACAGAAUGAUCCGCUUCGACUUGCUACUGGAGGCACCGAUUCCCACGUAUUAAUAUGGUACAUUACAACCAAAGACUCAGGUUCAGUAAACUUGGAGAUGGCAGCAGAUCUCACAAAGCACCAGAAAGCAGUAAAUGUUGUGAGGUGGUCACCAGAUGGCCAGUACUUGGCAUCAGGAGAUGAUGAGUCCAUCAUAUUUGUAUGGAAACAGAAGACUGAAGAAGCUCCACCAGUUUUGGAAGGUGAAGAGCAGUAUCGUGAGACUUGGGUUAUACAUAAGAUCCUGCGCGGGCACAUGGAAGAUAUCCUAGACCUCAGCUGGAGUCCCUCAUCCACCCAGCUAGCGUCAGGUUCUGUGGACAACAAGCUGCUGCUGUGGGAUGUAGCUCGCGCCCGCCACAUUGCACUGCUCACUGACCACAAGGGCUUUGUGCAGGGGGUCACUUGGGACCCUAAGGGUCAGCUGAUCGCCACAGCCAGCACUGACAGAGUGUUCCGCACGUUCGACGUGUCAACAAAGAAGGUGGUGUCGCGCAGCAGCAAGGCGGUGCUGCCGCUGCCGCCGGCGCACGCUCUGCACGGCGCGCGCGUGCGGCUCUACCACGACGACACGCUGCAGACCUACUACCGCCGCCUGCACUUCAGCCCCGACGGCCUGCUCGUCGCUGUGCCAGCAGGCAGCAUCGAGGCAGAGGCAGGCAAGCCGGAGCUGAAGCCCAUCAACGCUGUCUACAUCUACACCAGACACUCGCUCAAAGUUCCAGCGUGCGUACUGCCGUGCGGCGCGCCCGCGCUUGUGGUGCGCUGGUCGCCGUGCCGGUACGCGGUUCGUCGUAACGGCCCGCCGGCCGCCUUCCCUGUGCCGCACCGCAUGGUGCUGGCGGUCGGCACCAAGCGCUCGCUGCUGGUGUACGACACGCAGCAGCGGACGCCCCUCGCUCUCGUCACCAACAUGCAUUACACGAGGCUCACAGACCUGACCUGGUCUCCAGACGGACUGAUCCUCGUAGCUUCCAGCACAGACGGCUUCUGCUCCGUGGUAUCCUUCGCUGAUGGAGAACUUGGAGAAGUCCUAACUGAUGAAGUUGCUGAACCUUGCCCAGAACCUACGGUAACCGCAGAGGAUCAACCAAACGACAAAGAAACUACAGACGACGCUAAAGAAACCAAAACCAAAACAGAGUCUAAACAAACUGCUCGGAACAUAUCUAAAAUAGAUUCUUUCAUCAAAUUCAAAACGCCCAGUAGCGCUAAGUCGCCCAAGAAAGCAAAAAUCGAAAACACAGAACAGAAGACGCCUGUGAAAUAUGAUGUUUUGGUUGAAACAGCUAUGCCGUCUUGGUCAGACAAUUCAAGUAAUGAUAUCAUUAAGCCAAAGGAAACUGUACCGAUGGACAUUGACAAGGAUGAAAUCAUGGUCAUAGAAGACAGCGAAGACAUAAAACUCGUUUACGAUGAUUCUGUAACACAAUCAAAUACACAAUCGCCGAAAGAAACUAAAAAGGACAAUAUUUCACCUGAAGAAAGUAAAUCAGAUAUUGAAAGUAAAACUAAAACAAAUGAAAGUUCACUAAAAGAAAAUAAAGUAGAAGAUUUAAAGUCUAUUUCAAAAGAAAAUAAAAGUGAUAAUGAUUCAAAAGAAAUCAAAGGCAAACCAAAUUCAAAAGACUUAAAAAGUGAAGAUGAAUUAAAAGUCACAAAAAAGAUAGAUAAAAAAGAAAGUAAUGACUCCCCUAAAAGAAAAUUGUCUCCGCAACAGUGUGUGACGCCAAGCUCAAAGCAAUCUGAAAGCAAUUUCCUAAAACAAGCUAAAGUGACGGAUAUGAAAACUGUAACGGUUCAGUCCGCGCCCAGCCCUAAAGCACCGAGACGAGUCAGUUUUGUGACCUUAUCGAGUCCUAAAAACAGCUCACAGACCUGACCUGGUCUCCAGACGGACUGAUCCUCGUAGCUUCCAGCACGGACGGCUUCUGCUCUGUGGUGUCCUUCGCUGAUGGAGAACUUGGAGAAGUCCUUACUGAUGAAGUUGCUGAACCUUGUCCAGAACCUACGGUAACCGCAGAGGAUCAACCAAUCGACAAAGAAACUACAGACGACGCUAAAGAAACCAAAACCAAAACAGAGUCUAAACAAACUGCUCGGAACAUAUCUAAAAUAGAUUCUUUCAUCAAAUUCAAAACGCCCAGUAGCGCUAAGUCGCCCAAGAAAGCAAAAAUCGAAAACACAGAACAGAAGACGCCUGUGAAAUAUGAUGUUUUGGUUGAAACAGCUAUGCCGUCUUGGUCAGACAAUUCAAGUAAUGAUAUCAUUAAGCCAAAGGAAACUGUACCGAUGGACAUUGACAAGGAUGAAAUCAUGGUCAUAGAAGACAGCGAAGACAUAAAACUCGUUUACGAUGAUUCUGUAACACAAUCAAAUACACAAUCGCCGAAAGAAACUAAAAAGGACAAUAUUUCACCUGAAGAAAGUAAAUCAGAUAUUGAAAGUAAAACUAAAACAAAUGAAAGUUCACUAAAAGAAAAUAAAGUAGAAGAUUUAAAGUCUAUUUCAAAAGAAAAUAAAAGUGAUAAUGAUUCAAAAGAAAUCAAAGGCAAACCAAAUUCAAAAGACUUAAAAAGUGAAGAUGAAUUAAAAGUCACAAAAAAGAUAGAUAAAAAAGAAAGUAAUGACUCCCCUAAAAGAAAAUUGUCUCCGCAACAGUGUGUGACGCCAAGCUCAAAGCAAUCUGAAAGCAAUUUCCUAAAACAAGCUAAAGUGACGGAUAUGAAAACUGUAACGGUUCAGUCCGCGCCCAGCCCUAAAGCACCGAGACGAGUCAGUUUUGUGACCUUAUCGAGUCCUAAAAACAGUAAGAAAAAAUGACUGCUUAUGAAUAUAGUUGUAUGUAUAUUUUAAUAAAACAAUAAUAAAAACAAUUAUUUAAUAAAUACUU